rnacentral:rRNA from 1 species
ACGGGGUGCAGCAGGCGCGAAAACUUUGCAAUGUGCGAAAGCACGACAAGGUUAAUCCGAGUGGUUUCUGCUAAAGGAACCUUUUGUUAGUCGUAGAACCACUAACGAAUAAGGGGUGGGCAAGUUCUGGUGUCAGCCGCCGCGGUAAAACCAGCACCUCAAGUGGUUAGGAUGAUUAUUGGGCCUAAAGCAUCCGUAGCCUGAUCUGUAAGUUUUCGGUUAAAUCUGUACGCUCAAUGUACAGGCUGCCGGGAAUACUGCAGAUCUAGGGAGUGGGAGAGGUAGACGGUACUCGGGAGGAAGUGGUAAAAUGCUUUGAUCUUUCGAUGACCACCUGUGGCGAAGGCGGUCUACCAGAGCACGUCCGACGGUGAGGGAUGAAAGCUGGGGGAGCAAACCGGAUUAGAUACCCGGGUAGUCCCAGCUGUAAACUAUGCAAACUCAGUGAUGCAUUGGCUUGUGGCCAAUGCAGUGUUGCAGGGAAGCCGUUAAGUUUGCCGCCUGGAAGUACGUACGCAAGU